UCCGGGCAGAGCGGCGCGCUCCAGACCGGCGCCUCCUGCUGCAGCAAUCAACUCGUUCUCGUCUCUAACUCGUUCUUGUCUCUAACUCUUUUGUCUCCAACUCAUUCUUUAACUCAUUCUUUAACUCAUUCUUUAUAACUCAUUCACCGCGUCACGGGAUGGUUUCGUUCGUCAUUCCCGCAGCGGCGCGGCCGCGUGCGUCAGGCAAGGCCGAGGCUGUUGCGAGGGGCCUGUGGGGGCCGCUCCAUCAGAUCUCUCUUUUGCUUAACACGUGGAAGUUUAGCAUUUAGUUGUUUAACACGUGGUAGGUUUACACGUGGUAAAGUUUAACACGUAGUAGUUUAACGCGUAGUAGUUUAACGCGUAGUAGUUUAGCAUGUGGUAGUUUAACAUGUGGUAGUUUAACAUGUGGUAGUUUAACAUGUGGUAGUUUAACAUGUGGUAGUUUAACGCGUAGUAGGUGAAGCACGUGGUAAAGUUUAGCACGUGGUAGUUUGGUUUUCGCGACCAAUAUCCAUGGUAUAUGUUAUUUUGGGUUAGAUCGCGUAAAUAUAAAUGUGUCGUUAAACCCGCCACCACCCAACACAGCCAAUUAGUGAGGUUUGCCACGUAAUCGGAACGUGCCAAUUCGUUACCAGCGCAGCACGACAUUCACUCGGAUUGUCAAUGCUGUGGCACUUUGUAGGAUGAACGUUGAGAUGUAUAAGGGCACGGCGGUGACCAAUAAGGUCCGAGUUGGUGUGUAGUCAGGUAGGGAGGUGGCACUGGUUAGGGGUUGACGGGUCGUGCCUUCAAGUUGUUGUCCACCGUUGCAGUCGAGUUUCGACGCUGCCUCGUCAUUUUCGCUCGUUCUCACAGAGCCACGCGUUCGUUUAAUUCACUCUCAAUCCACUUUGUCAUUUCUCUGCUGAUGUUCAACCCCACAUCCACCCACCCCCACCACGCCUCUAAUCGUGGAGUUCGUUAUUCUUUCUCACUUGGGUGUUGGGGGGGGGCUCAUGCUGCGGUGAGUGAAGCCCCCCAAGUGCACGCGGAGGAGACAGUGGUGAGCGAAGCGCAGGAGCAGUGCGGAGGCGGUGAUGCGGUCCGCUUGGCUUUCCACUGGGCCAGCACAGAAGGAUGUCUCUGCAGAGGAUGACAGAAAACAACCCUGCUGCUACGAGUCCACCAGUGUGUGCCACUACCUUCUGCCUGCGCGAACCUAAUAGUUAUACUAUAUUUGCAUAUGAAGGGUGGCACAAAAGUCAGGACAAACAUUUCAUUAAUUAACAUUGCAUUAAAUAUGUAAUCAAUCAGCAUUAUUCAUAUCUGUUAUCAUCGUAUUAAUGUGUGUAAGCAAUGGUGUCUUGCAAGGCCCGAGGGGUUACAUUUAGAAGUUCCUGAAUACAACAAGACUCCAUCCUCUGCAGCAGCAUGGAUGCAUUCUGGGUGUGUCAUUGCGUGUAAUUGUCGUGGAGUGGCGUGACAUGGCCACUGAUGUCAGAGGUUUGUAGUUUACUUGGGCAGGCCACCCUGGUUAAUGCGAGGGUGUGUUCGUUAAUCAGUCCGCUUGAUCUGGUGAGGGUCGUGGUGGCAGAAUGUUGGGUAGUGGCGGUCCGGGUCUCCCUUUCGACAGACUAGCACUACUACACUAUUCACUAUACUACUACACAUUGCAAUAUACACUGCUAUACACACCUACUACACUCUACACUCUAAAUUACUACUACACUCUGCACUACUAGACUCUGCACUACUAACACAAGCGGUCGUCAUCCGGCAAAGCAGUCGGCCUCUAAAGGCAAACUGUUGAUAAGGCGUAGCCCAGGUGUGUCCAGCACCAGGGAGCAUGGGCGGCGGUGCACGAGAUCCCAAUGCAGCAGCAAUAAUCCCUGCACCCCGCUCCACACGCCACACUGCUGACGGUGGCGGUUGAUUGACAAGAAAACACAAGUUAUGAUCCUAAGUGGCUGAUGACAUCUUUCCAAUGAUUGCCGAGUCGAAACCUUCCUCUCAGUUGAAAUUGUCUCCGUGUCAAGCAGAUUUGAAACACGGUAGGACCAAUACUUCUGCCGUGGCUGAUCAUUAUUUUAAUGCGGCUGCCUCACACGAAAUUGAUUUCUCUAAGACGAUGGUACUUUGCAAGCCUACUGGCUAUCAAAGAUUCGUUCAUGAAGCCAUCCAUAUAUACACAGACAAUUUCAACCGCCCGUGCUCCUGGUGCUGUUGAUACACUUUGUUUAUGCCCAUCCCCAAACCUUUAUAAACAGCUUAAACAGUUUGCCUUUAGAGGCUGACUCCUUUGCCUGAUGACGGCCGCUUUUGUUGCGAUGGAAACGUCGUGAUAUUUGUAUUCACUUAUUUUUUUUCUAUCUACGUGACUUUAUUGAAGGAACCAUAGAACAUUUAAAUUAAUUCGAAGAAGAGUAGGCCCUUGUUUUGCCGCUAUCCUAAUCCAAAGUUGACAAUGUACUCGCAAGUUAAUUACAUUGCAGAAAUUGUCGCCUCUGACUGUGAAAAUGUGGCGAGAUCCAGAAACGGUCUUGAAAUUGAUCAAGGCUUUUCUAGGCAAGCAAGCUUAAAGUAAUUUCAGUAGCAUGCGCUGUACAUUUUAAUUGUACACGGGAACUUGUAUAACACGAUAAUUUGCACUCGAUCGGAACGUGUACAAUUGUUUUGCAAAAGCAAUAAAAAAUUUUUUUUAAAUGAAUGCCAAUGUAA